UCUUGGUCAUUUAGAGGAAGUAAAAGUCGUAACAAGGUCUCCGUUGGUGAACCAGCGGAGGGAUCAUUACAGAGUUGCAAAACUCCCUAAACCAUUGUGAACGUUACCUUUACCGUUGCUUCGGCGGGCGGCCCGGGUCCUGCCCGGCGCCCCUCGGCCCUCGCGGGCGCCCGCCGGAGGAAAACCAAACCAUUGCAUUGUAUGGCCUCUCUGAGUCUUCUGUACUGAAUAAGUCAAAACUUUCAACAACGGAUCUCUUGGUUCUGGCAUCGAUGAAGAACGCAGCGAAAUGCGAUAAGUAAUGUGAAUUGCAGAAUUCAGUGAAUCAUCGAAUCUUUGAACGCACAUUGCGCCCGCCAGUAUUCUGGCGGGCAUGCCUGUUCGAGCGUCAUUUCAACCAUCAAGCCCCCGGCUUGUGUUGGGGACCUGCGGCUGCCGCAGGCCCUGAAAACCAGUGGCGGGCUCGCUGUCACUCCGAGCGUAGUAGUUUACAUCUCGCUCAGGGCGUGCUGCGGGUUCCGGCCGUUAAAAGCCUUAUUUUACCUC
rnacentral:rRNA from 1 species